CCUUUUCGCAAUGCCCGCAAGGGUGACGAAGCGACGCCGCGUGUGGGAAGAAGGCCUUCGGGUUGUAAACCACUGUCGGGAGUUAAGAACUGUAAGGAUGCUAAUAGUAUUCUUACUUGACUAAGGCUCCGGAGGAAGCCACGGCUAACUCUGUGCCAGCAGCCGCGGUAAUACAGAGGCGGCAAGCGUUGUUCGGAAUUAUUGGGCGUAAAGAGCAUGUAGGCGGCUAUGUAAGUCGGUUGUGAAAGCCUUCCGCUUAACGGAAGAAUGGCGGCCGAAACUGCAUGGCUUGAGUGCGGUAGGGGAGAGUGGAACUUCUGGUGGAGCGGUGAAAUGCGUAGAUAUCAGAAGGAACGCCGGCGGCGAAAGCGACUCUCUGGACCGUAACUGACGCUGAGUGUGCGAAAGCUAGGGGAGCAAACGGGAUUAGAUACCCCGGUAGUCCUAGCCGUAAACGA
rnacentral:rRNA from 1 species